rnacentral:rRNA from 1 species
GAUGAACGCUGGCGGCGUGCCUAAUACAUGCAAGUCGAGCGGACGAACCGAAAGCUUGCUCUUCUGUCGUUAGCGGCGGACGGGUGAGUAACACGUGGAUAACCUACCUUUUAGACGGGGAUAACACCGAGAAACCGGUGCUAAUACCGGAUAAUACGAACUACCGCAUGACGCUAUGUUGAAAGACGGCGCAAGCUGUCCCUACAGGAUGGGCCCCCGGCGCUUUAGCAAGUUGGAGAGGUAACGGCUCACCAAGGCGACGAUCCGAAGCCGACCUGAGAGGGUGGUCGGGCCCACUGGGACUGAGGCACGGCCCAGACUCCUACGGGAGGGAGCAGUAGGGAAUCUUCCGCAAUGGGCGAAAGUCUGACGGAGCAACGCCGCGUGGGGGAAGAAGGCCUUCGGGUCGUAAAGCCCUGUUGUUAGGGAAGAACAAGUAGCGCAGGAACUGGCGUUAGCGUGACGGUACCUAACGAGGAAGCCACGGCUAACUACGGG